GGCUGAAAAGCCAAUGGUGCGAAGCUACCAUCUGUUGGAUCAUGACUGAACGCCUCUAAGUCAGAAUCCUUGCUAGAACGCAACGAUAAUUACCUCCGGAGAAUCUUAGGCGAACAAGGAUAGAGAACGGGCUCGCCCGCUCUCCUGCGUCNCAAUGUGCCAAGAGGGAAAACAACCCUCAAGGCACUAAAGUAUAUCAAAGUUUAAAAUUUCUGGAGAUAAAUCCUUUGCAGACGACUUAAAUAAAGAACGGGGUAUUGUACGUUGUAGAGUAGCCUUGUUGCUACGAUCUUCUGAGAUUAAGCCUUUGUUCUACGAUUUGU
rfam:Nematostella vectensis strain CH2 x CH6 NEMVEscaffold_316_Cont23548, whole genome shotgun sequence.